CUUGCUUCUUGCUUUAGAAAGAUUGCUCGUUAGCUAGGCCGUUUUCAAUAAGGCUCGCGCUAGGCGCUCACCUUUUUUGGCUAAGCCGUAUCGUAUCUUGCUGGUAAUGGAUUUAUUCUUGAAUCUUGCUUGGUUUAGGCAGGUAAGUGUUAAGAGGCUCUUGUUGGCUUUCAUUAGGUAUACAUAGGUACACAUAGGACUUUCUUGCAAUACAUAGUGGUUGGCUUCGAAUCACAUGAAGCCCAUAUAGAUGUCCACUCCUAUUUCCUCUAAAGCUCUCCCUGUGGG
rnacentral:lncRNA from 1 species